AGUGAACGCUGGCGGUAGGCCUAACACAUGCAAGUCGAACGGCAGCACAGGAGAGCUUGCUCUCUGGGUGGCGAGUGGCGGACGGGUGAGGAAUACAUCGGAAUCUACUCUGUCGUGGGGGAUAACGUAGGGAAACUUACGCUAAUACCGCAUACGACCUACGGGUGAAAGCAGGGACCUUCGGGCCUUGCGCGAUUGAAUGAGCCGAUGUCGGAUUAGCUAGUUGGCGGGGUAAAGGCCCACCAAGGCGACGAUCCGUAGCUGGUCGGAGAGGAUGAUCAGCCACACUGGAACUGAGACACGGUCCAGACUCCUACGGGAGGCAGCAGUGGGGAAUAUUGGACAACGGGCGCAAGCCUGAUCCAGCCAUACCGCGUGGGUGAAGAAGGCCUUCGGGUUGUAAAGCCCUUUUGUUGGGAAAGAAAUCCAGCUGGCUAAUACCCGGUUGGGAUGACGGUACCCAAAGAAUAAGCACCGGCUAACUUCGUGCCAGCCGCCGCCGUAA
rnacentral:rRNA from 1 species